AAGACUGUAGCAUAAUUGGUUAAUGCCACUCGCUCAUAAUGGGUCAAAUGAGGGUUCGAGCCCCUUCGGUCUUA